AAAAUAUGAAGAAGAAAAAUUAUCAAAUCGACUCAGCUUAAUUCCACUAAUUCGAUGGAAUUAUUGACAGACACUGGAAUGGUUUGCGAACUUUCAAACUUUGAAUUUAAAUAGCGUGGCACUACUAACCCUACCACAAAAACGCUAACAUAGAAUACAUUAUCUAUCAUAUGACAUAUCAACUCACACUUUCUAGAUCACAUGACAAGGUUGCCAUGUCUCCCCCCAUCAGCGGUAGACUCCUGCAAUUUUUUAGUUUACACGCAGACAUCUCUCUCCCGCAAAACUAUCGCAAACGCAAAAAUUUACCGCAAU